rfam:TPA: Bos taurus chromosome 12, whole genome shotgun sequence.
UCCCUCGUGGCUCAGACAGUAAAGCGUCUGCCUGCAAUGCAGGAGACCCAGGUUCAAUCCCUGAGAUGGGAA